GCUUAUGAAGGGGAUCCUGAUGGAGCAUAAAAUGAUUUUUGUUCCAUCUUCUAUACAGUUUUUAACAGUACUGGAAAAGAUCCUUCCUGAGCGAUUCCUGGUAAUUUUGAAACAAAAUAUCAACAUUAAGUUUGAUGCUGUUAUUGGAUAUAAAGUCAAAGAAUAAAAAGUACCUGAUUGUCUUGAAAAC